GGGCCCGCACAAGCAGCGGAGCGUGUUGCUUAAUUCGAUGCAACGCGAAGAACCUUACCUGGGUUUGACAUGCUCGGAAAAGCCGUAGAGAUACGGUGUCCUUCGGGGCCGAGCACAGGUGGUGCAUGGCUGUCGUCAGCUCGUGUCGUGAGAUGUUGGGUUAAGUCCCGCAACGAGCGCAACCCUUAUUCUAUGUUGCCAGCACGUAAUGGUGGGGACUCGUAGGAGACUGCCGGGGUCAACUCGGAGGAAGGUGGGGACGACGUCAAGUCAUCAUGCCCCUUAUAUCCAGGGCUGCAAACACGCUACAAUGGCCGGUACAAAGGGCUGCAAGCUCGUGAGAGUGAGCGAAUCCCAUAAAGCCGGUCUCAGUUCGGAUUGAAGGCUGCAACUCGCCUUCAUGAAGCUGGAGUUGCUAGUAAUCCCGGAUCAGCACGCCGGGGUGAAUACGUUCCCGGGCCUU
rnacentral:rRNA from 1 species